GAUAUAUAAAACGGAAGCAGUCCUAAACGAGGUCAUCAUCUGGGAGGCGCAUACUAGGCGCAACUUGCCCUCUCCCGUCCCGGGGUGUUAUCUGAUUCCGUUUCCUUUGUUUUGUUUCACUUUCGAUCCU
ensembl:ncRNA F57C7.14 ncRNA